UGAGUCGUGGGGGCACUGAGUGAGUGAGCGAGCUGGGGAGGAGGAGGCUCGCGAGGCCCAUCACAUGAUGAGACGUUCGCGCCUCUUUCGUAAACCUUCUCCAACCUGAUGAUCCUAAACAACUCGGAGGUUACGCGUUAGUUUAACUUCCGCGGAGGCCUUAAACGCGUCGCGACCAGCGUCCACGCGUGGGGCUGUGCUGUGGCGAGAAAUGAUUGUGGGAACUUUGAAUCUGUGAGAGUGUUUGUCGGUGGGACAGGCUUUGUGUGUGUGGAGCAGCUGGGGAGCUAACAGACAAUUAUUGGGAGCAUUUCACGUGGCUCCGCAAUUCUUCUCCACAGCAAGGGCCAGUCUAUCCAAACCCAAACUCAAACUCAGCUCUUAAAGACCCCAGGAAUUCGUUUCCAGCUGAAAACACCCACUCUUAGGACUGUUGAAGAUUAAUGAAGCAUUUCCCUGAAACAAGGAAAAGAACGCCGCAACAAUACCUUCAAUGAAAAAUGCUACAUUAUUUUAAUAUGGCCUUCCUGCUAAGGUGCAUCUUGUGUAGUUAGUGAAGUAGUAUAGUAUCUACUGCGCUAGAUGCUCCUUUUGGCAGGAGUAGCUGUAUAUUCAGCUCAUGGAAGCAAACUUCAUUUGUUAUUUAAUUCUGUUUACAUGCUCGACUCUGAC
rnacentral:lncRNA from 1 species